GCGGGACUUAAGCUUAAACGAAGAACGCCUUUUGUGUUUUAUGCAGGUUGGCCUGACCGGGCACGUGGGGACGUCAGGGUGACGUAUGAGUUACUGGGUUUUGUGGAAGAGGAGUAGUCAAUGUGUAUUGGUAACUAAAACUUGACUACUCGGAUGUGCAAUAGUAAGACAAACUUAACUGUGAAGAAAUGUGUAUUAAUAACUAAACUUUAGUUAUUCGGAAGUGUACAAUGGUAAAUUAAAUUUAAAUUCAAGAAUUACCUCGGAAGUGUAUAAUGGUAAAAUAAACAAUAUGAAGAAUUA